CUUAAUAUUGCAUAAAUAAGUUGAUGAAUCGAAUUCGGCUUGUUCUACUUCUACAAUAUAUACUUCAUAAGUUCAUAUUGCAUAUAUAAGUUGAUGAAUCAAAUUUCUGCUUGUUCUACUUCUACAAUAUACACUUCAUAUCGCAUCAACCGGGUGACAUUCUCACAACCAAGCUUACUCUGUAUUAUUUGUUGUUUGAAUUGAAGCUUUGGGUAAAAAUAAACUGAAGUAUACCCCUAAACUUUGAUGGACCCCGAACAUGCCAUUUGAUCAAUUUCAAACGGGAGCAAGAUGAAAACCUGAACGGUGCCUUGGUUAGUCCCUACAGAUAGGUGGGUGCUACGCUGCGCCCAACUAACAAACAGUGUGGUCCGCCCCCAAAUCAUAGAGCUUGGCGACCUUGUGGAGUUAAAAUUUUGUUUAGGAUCCCUCUUAGAGUUUCAGAAUAGAAAUCAGAUAACAUUGGUUGCACACACCUUGCAGUUGCAUUCCACGGGUAGACGCAAUUCCCCGAUCUGACCGAGAGGACAUUGUGCGAAGACCAGUCCACGAAGUUGAGGUAGAAGUCGUCCUGCAAUACGGGCGCAUACAGAACACCUAGGAGGAGAAUUCCAUUUUCGUGAGAUUUUCUAUUUGAGCAUGAAUUUAAAUAUAAUAACAGAUACUCUUGGAAUACCAAUGGGAAUGAAAAACAAACAAUAACCGUAAGAGAUUCAUCUGCAGGAAUAUGCAAUUAGCACAACAAUGUGUAACAGCAGCAACAGAGUAUUCAUGGCAUGGAAGCAAGCAUAACGCAACUAUCCCCAAGAUUUAGAAUGCAGAAAUAUGUUCCCUCGAGAAGCACAACCAGGACACAAGAUCCAAUGAAACUAAAUUUGGUCUAUCAUCCAUAUCUUGUUCAACCAUAUAUAGGCCAUCUUGUUGCUUGAUACGACACUAAAACAAGUAAAGGUAAUAUACUAUGCUACCAUAUAGAGUCACUGCCAGAAAAUCAGCUGCAUCUCGUCCAUUAAAUCUAUCAUAAAUUCUACAAAUGAACCAUCUAUUUUUCUCAGAGCACACAGUUUGGACUCUAUCCUCUCCGGCUGCUCCACCAGCCAUGUUUACCUCGGAACCAAUCAGAAAAUUGGAUGAUCCAGUUGUUGGAGCACUGGAUCUCCAAAGAUUUUUACUGAUUUAAAAUAUGGAACUCUCAGUUAAUGCAGGGCUGCCUUGUGAGGUGUGAGGUGGAUAUCAAAUCCAACCUUCACAUAGAUGGAGAAGAGACGAUUUUUCUGAAAGAAUUUGGUCAUAGCAACCUGCAGUCCACCAUUGCAAAAGACAACAAGGGAGUUCAAUAAUACCUGAACUGAACUACACAUUAAUCAAUGAAGAAAUAAAUAAUGUACCAUAAGAGAUUCACUUGCAGGAAUAUGCAAUGGUCGGCACAACAAUAAAUAAAUAUGUAAACGCACUAACAGAAUAUCCCUAAACUGAACUGAACAGAGACUGUGAGUGAGCAGUUGUUGAUAGCACACAACACAAAGACGUGGAUAGGAUGCUUAUGGUUUCAACAGAUCCUGCUCUUGCCCUCACAAAGAUCAAACCGAAAUACAAGCAGCAUCCGGAGCGCGCGGGGGGGGGGUCGGGUCGGAUUCAAUAUAUCGUCUUCGUGUAAACACGCUGUCCUUGAAAUGCUACCUGCAGCCAGCACCGUGGUUCCAAUAGCAGGUCCUCCUCCUGGAUCGAAUGGCCCUGCUACAAUGAAGCUGGAGACGGGAUGAUCUGGCCGUCUCCACCGCCUGACUCCCAGUGCCGUGUCAACCUUGGUCCCACUGGUACUGCAUCUGGUCCGCCGCGCCCGCGCCGCUCGACGGCCUCGGUGACGCAGGAGAGCGGGCAGGAGGCGUCGAGGAGGAGCGCAAGAGGCGCCGGAGCGGCGUCGGCGUCCCGGUCCUGACGGAUCUUGACACCUCUGAUUCAAAUCAUCUGGCCUCCCACAACCUCAGAAUCCACUGCCGAACUUUGCGUCGAGAUCGCCGUCACCCAUGGCUCGCCGUCCUGAGUGGAAGCCGUCCUUCUGCCUACCCCUCAGUCUCGAGGUGGAUUUCGGGAUGGGGCAACCCAGGCAGGGUGAGGAGAGGAACGGGGAGGAGAGGGCGUGGGAGAAGCGGCGGAGCCGGUGGCGCAGCGACUCGGGCGAGGACGAGGCGAGGGGGAGGGGAAUGGC
rnacentral:lncRNA from 1 species